ACCUGUUGAAUAUCAAAACUCAAAAAAGAUAAGGUGAAAUCCUUUAUCUUUUGAAGGUAUCUCUUCUUGUUUUCCUCUCAGGCCUCGUAUCUGCUCUUGAUUUGUCCAACUACCAAUUGAGAGUCGCUGAAGACCUUUAGACGUUGAGCUCCUGCUUCUUUCGUGACUUUUAUGCCAGCAUUCAGAGCUUCAUACUCUGCUUCAUUGUUG
rnacentral:lncRNA from 1 species